GGGCGGAUGGUGAAACUGGCAGACACACCAGCCUUAGGAGCUGGCGCCGCAAGGCAUGAGGGUUCAACUCCCUCUCCGCCCACCA
rnacentral:tRNA from 1 species